rnacentral:lncRNA from 1 species
CCCAACCGGGGCCAAGGCCCCGUGGCAUGUGCCUCGCGAAGUCGCCCCUUCCUCCGUCGGGAGGGCAACUCGCUGGGAAACUGGACAGCGGUGCACGGCAGGGCCCUGUGAGGUGGCAGCGCAGCCCCAGCCAGGCCCAGAGCUGCGGGUCCCGCGCGGGGAGUCUGCUUUAACCGUCGUGUUUCCGGCAUUCUGACAAACAGGCAGUUCCCCGCAAAUUUGUUCUCUGAGCAGGGAACAUCUUUGCAGGCUUCUACAAAAGAGCAAAACAAAAUGUACAACACCACUGUUUAAGCAGGAAUUUCUUGUUCAGUGGCUUUUUUAAAGGUCCUUUCCCCCCAAGUUCAGUGUACUUUAUAAGUUUGCAAAUAACAUUUUAACACCGAAUGAAACUACUAACAUUAAAAGGGACAUUAAGAGAGAAGUGCAAGGUGGGCAUGGUGGUAUACGCCUGUGAUCCCAGUGACUGAGAGAGUUGAGGCAGGAGGUUGGCAAGUUCAAGGCUAGCUGGUCAAGUCAGCAAGGCUCUAUCUCAAAAGUAAAAAUUUAGAAAGGGUCGGUCGGGGGUGUAACUCAGUGGUAGAAUGCCCUGGGUUCAGUCCCCAGUACUGAAGAAAACAAAGAGGAAAUAGGAAGGUUUUCACAUUAACAUUAUCCAUUUUCGGUGUAGAAAAAUGAGAGAAUGUAGAAGAGAAAAGGAAUAAAAAUGGACUUGGUGUCCCCCUGCUGGAGCUGGACACAGCCGGAACGGUGCUGUGUGCCGAAGCGUGGCAUCCCGGCCGAGGGUGGCGGGCAGCAUCUGUCCGCACUCUGUGCUUGAGUUCCUCGGGCACUCCUUGGUGUGUAUUCCUGGGGGCUUCCAGUUUCUACUUGGGAGACCAGAGCUUAGCAAGCAGCCCCAGGCCAGGCAGAGGCUGGAGCCACUCAGGUGAGGAUUCUGAACCCCAUGAGUGUGGGUUGUCAAGCGUGGAUGUGCCCUGACACCCUCACCAAAAAUGGAGACCAGUCAGGCAGAACACCUGGUGACAUCUGCUUUGCUCCAGAACAGCUUCUGAACUGGGUCCAUGGCCUGGAAUCUAGGGACAGUGAAGAUGUUGGCCAGAACGUUCUCUGGCCAGCAGGUCCGGUGCACACAGUGCUGGCAGCUCGGGGACCUUGAAGCCCAGCAUCUGCCCGCUCACUGGGGCUCAGCACUGUGCAGCUUGUUCCCUGUGAGCCCAGCCUGCACACAUCCUUCCGGCUGGGGCGGGAGGGACAGGAGCCACCCCCUCCAUUUCUGGCCCGAGCAGGUGGGCAGCACGCCCACUCCCCAGCUCCAGCAGCUCUGUCCCCAGGUGAGGUUGGCCAUGCAUGCCCUUCCAGCAUUUGUGUACCAGACGGCUGCUGACCUCAGUCCUUUGCAGAAUAGGAAUUGAGUCACUGAGGCCAAGAGGGAUGGUGGGCCCAAUCCCGUGGGGACUCCAUGCUUUGCUAGACUGUGUAGCUCUGGCUCAACCCCAUGUAGCCUGAGAGGGGCUGACAAGCCCCCAGGGGUCUUGUGGCCUCCCCAAGUGGAUGCUGCGUGGGAUCCAAGCCCCAGGCUGAGCCAGGCACAGGUGGAAGAGUGUCCUUCCUUCGGUCACUCACACCUUGUUGAGGUUCACUUCUGCUGCCUGCCGUCCCCAUGUCACCUUGCAAAAACUUUGGAACUGACUUUGGUCAGUGUGGGCUUGAAGUGCUGUCUCAGGGGGUUGACUUUUCAUCCCUGAUUGUUGGGGUGAGGCUGGAGUAGGCAGCCUCUGAGGUGACCCCAUACCCCCUGCAGGGGGUCUGUGCAGGCCUGGCUUCCAGACCCUGAGCGAAGGGGUUGCCCCAGGAGGAGGUGGAAAGGGACCCCUGCCCUCACCCCACGAGGAGCUACUGAUCUUCAUCUCUUCACUGUGUGCCUGCACAGCAAGAGGGACUCAGAGAGUAAAUGGUCUCUUGUUUCGUUUCUCUUUUUAAACACUGGGGACUGAGCCCAGAGGUCCUCUUCCACUGACUCACACCCCCAGCCCUUUUUAUAUUUCAUUUUGAGACAAGGUCUUGCUCAGUUGUUGAGGCUGGCCUCAAACUUGCCAUCCCCCUGCCUCAGUCUACCUAAGCCUCCUGAGCAUGGGGCCACCACACCCAGACUUCAAACUUUGUAUCUUAAGAAAAGUUCAGACUUCGGGAAGAGCCAUGUGAGUGUUCCUGUGCACCCUCUGUCUGCCUCAGCGUUGACAUUUUACUUGGCCUCAGGGUGACUGUCUGCCGUGGGGAGUUAACUCCAACACAGCGUAGUGGACUAGUCCUCAGGCUGUGGUGCCCCCGGGGUCCCCCCGGGUGGGUGCCAGGACUGUGCCACCUAUGUGUUUCAGACCUGCCUGACACCUCUCUGGGUCAGGUUUGCCAUGGUGCAGGAAGACCCCUUCUGGGCUGGACGGAGCUCAAGCCUUGGUCUCCCAUCUGGAGCUUUCCUCUGGCCACAGGUUCCUGUCCUUCACCUGCAGGUGAUGCAGGCCCUGGUUUCUGUGGGGACAGGGUUCGCAGAGUGCGGCUCCACUGCCAAGCUCUGUGCAAGGGCUUGGUUCUUCCCUACCUGUCAGUCCUGAUGGCUCUGUCUGCUUGUCUGUCUGCC